AUGUCAGUCAUGAAGAUGUUCACCAGACAGAAAGUCUGGAGCAGAAGUCCAAGGAGGAAACAGACUUACAUGUCCAACCCCUUUGUCCUGAGAUCUGGAGAUCUGGAGAUCUGGAGUCUAUCGAGGAUUCCGUUGUCCCCUCCCUUUGGCAUUUAUAAGCACUGGUGUGUACCUGGGACCAUGUUAAGUGCUAGGAGUUCAGAAAUGAAAGCAUACAGUCUUUGUUCUCAAGGAACUGUCUAGUUGAUGAGAAAGAAGAAUAAAAAAACUAAUUACAGAAUUGGUUCUGGAGUG
rnacentral:lncRNA from 1 species